GCAGCGGCUACAGCGCACCAUAUGCAUGAGGAUGUGGCACAGCUGCCGCUCACGGCAGCGUCCAUCUGGUUCCAGCAAGCGAGGUCCCGCUUGAUGGAGCCGGGUGGACACUGCGGUGAGGUCUGGCGGCGGUGCCCCAUCCUCCGGCUAAGCUGCUGUAGCUGCUGCUCUCCCCCGUCUCCCCUCUGCUCUCUCUCAGCACCCUCAUCUCAAUCCGACUUUUUUAUAAAUCUGAUUGAAUAGGUUCUGUCGGAUCCAUUCCGACAAAUUAAUGUCUGAAUGGAUCCGGUAUGAAUUGAAUAUACCCCUUAGUGUGCCUUUAUACUAUGACUGGCAGGUCAGAUCUCUGCACUAGUCAUUUAAAUUCGUCCUUAAUGAUGGCUUCCUAUAUAUGUAUAGUGUGUUCUUCCAGUUCCAUUCUAUACAUGCUACAAUGCACAUUUGCUUUAAUUAGACAAAUUAUACAUAGUUCUUCUUAUUUUAUUGUGUAAAUAAAUUCAGCAUGAAUUUAACAUUUAAUACAAAUAAUUAUUUUAAAGAAAACCUCUGCUAAUUACGUGCAUCUAAAAUUAGUUUUGUUUGCAUAUUCAACGUGGGCAUGCUUUAAUUGUUUUUAGACCUUAUUCACACACUAACCGGAAAAUAUUGUAUGUGUUAUGUAGAAAUUAGAAACAAAAGCUCUAUAUUGGUAUGCUAUAAAUAUUGAACGCAUUAUCAUUUUUAUUUUAUUUUUAAGCAGAAUCGCUCAAAAAAAAAAAAAAAUUAUUAACUUAUAAUUAUAGGUAAAUCGGCAUGUUCAUGUAUUAUAAUUAAGAGAUAAUUACGUACAGUUUAGGGAAGAUUUAAUACCUCCUACCUCAAAGAUGAACACAAUUGUGGUUGUAUAUACUGAUCUGUAAAUUCUGUCCCCCCUUCCCCAACGCUGUAAAUGAUUGCCUUUGCAUGGGGAUUAGGCUAAAAGGAAUGAUAGAAAGAUUUCUGCGCAGCAUUAAAGUGUUUAUAUAUAUAUAUAUAUAUAUAUAUUCUGUAAAGCUGGAAAAUAUAUUCAAAUGCACAGUUCCCUCUUCUUCUAUCCUGUCCGCUCUGCUAAAUACUCACCAGGCAGCUUCACUCAUCCAACCUACCCCCAAACUAGCAGCAGAGCGAUUAGUGUAACGGCCACGAAUUAGCGUGGCAGCCACCAAUUACCAUGCCAGCUGGCCUCCUGGUCAGACACUCUACCAGGUGAAUAUCAUCCUGUUAGACUUUUAUAUCAGGGAUGGGUCCUCAAAAGUGAUGCGUCCCCUCUGACAUCACAGACACGCAUAUUGGUGUUACAUUUUUCCAUGGACACUUUUAUAAUCACUUAUUCUGGUUAUAGGGCUUGUGAAAGCUACGUCAGACGUUUGUGAAUGGGGCGUACAGACGUUACCAUGAGAGUUGUCAUUCUGAUGCCUCUUGUUACCUUGAUAAAAUGAUUACGGUAACAUGAGAGUAUUUCUCUGUCACCUGCUACUUGCAUUUCUGCAGAUAAUCCAUUUUGCUUAUGUGAUUCUCCUUGCAGGGACUAUAGUUAGUGUACAGUAUAGGUGAUCAGACUUCUAGCUUACGUUGUUGGGUUCCUGGAACAGUGGCACACUGACACUUAGGGGUUGAUUCAACUAGGGACGAUGUGCCAAACAUUGCUUUCUGGAACGGAACAUCGUGGGAACCCUACAUAGCCGAAUUGGCUUUGCAGCCAUAUACAGUAGCUGCGCAUGAAAAUCAUCCAUAUUGUGGCUGCUGUAAUGUACAAAUAGAUGCACGGCCGUACAUUGCGUCAAUGUACAAUAGUACAUGGGCCUUAAUUGAAUUGACCCCUUGGAGUCUUGACUUGGAGAGCGGACCUUCAUUUUUUUUUAAUGAACCCCAUAGACUUCUUACACCCCACUGAUUCAGUUUGUAGCUGUCUGAAUUCAGGUUACUGCAAUCUAACACAUUAUGGGCCAGAUUUAUCAAGCAUUCGAGAGUGAUAUAUUUCACACUGAUUGGCUGAUACUAUUUAUCACUCUCCAAGGCUUGAUAAAUCUGGGCCUAUGUGACUAUAUAUCUGUACAGAGAGAAACAUGGGAUGUCUUUUGUACUAUUCCGAAACUUUAAACCUCGUUAUUCUCCUAUUUUGCUUUUAAGGUUCCUUUAUGUGUUUAAAUUUUGAGUCUUGUUUAAUGAGAAUUUGCAACAGCAUUUGGGGGAGUAGAUGCCAAAUUCAGAUCCAGUCAUUUUCCAUGUUCAAGAUAUAAUGAAGUGUAUUGAAAAAAAUAAUAAUGCAUGCCCAUACACUACCUCAUUUCCAGAUGAUUUCAGGGUGCAUCAUAAUUUUUUUUUUUUUUUAAUUAAAGCCUUAUAUGAUUUUUAUUGACUUGCCCUGUAGAGUUCACUAAGGUAGGUGCUAGCUCAGCAUCCGAUAUUAUGCAAUGUUUAUUAUGUACUCCGUGAUAGAAUAGAUUACAUUUUGGGGAGGGAGUUUUUAUUGUUGUUCGUCUACGGUAUGUACAUGUGAUAUUUUGAUGAGCUUGUUUACAGAUUUGUUCUAGAGUAUUAAACAUUAGAGCCAAACCAACGCAUAGGAAACCUUCAUGCAGCCGGCUGUAAGGUGCGUGUAGUGUCGGUGUGUGCCGACACUAACACCAGUGGGAAGACAGUCGCUCAUGAGUCCGGCCACUGCCGAAUACACAAACACUUAAUGAUAAUAUUGUAUUGAACGUUUUCUUCUUUUUUUUUAUCAAUAUUUUAUUUUCAGAGUUUCUUUUCAUUACCUUUUAUUGGUCAUAUUGGCUCGCAAAUAGAAUUACCUCUGGUUAGUUCAUCUCCGCAGUUUUUCCUUAUCGCUGAUCAUUGACUCCAUUCUGUUUCUUUGGGCACAAAAUGACUAUGGGCUAAACAGUCUUGUAAAACAAGUAUUUUAUCUUUUUUUUUUUUUUUUUAAAUGUACUUAAUAUUAUAGACCUGCAAUACAUUAUGGCACAUGUUCAGGGAUACAGGUAUACAAUAAUGCUUAGGAGGUGAAAUAUGUAAUCUUAAUUUGUUACCUUUCUAAUUUUACUAACCGGAUUGUUCUGACAAUGACUUAGGGCUAUAGUUACAGACGUAUCGCAGGGUGUGUUCAGUGGAAACCUAAUUACAGGUUGUUGUGUGCAAGGGAUGUGACAUUGUGGCUUUCUGUGGUCCACUUCCCAGGCUGCUAUACAAAGACAGUGUUGCUGAAACAAUGUCACUCAUUAUUUAUCUUCCUACUGUACAUGGUAUUGGUAUAGCUCAUUGUAAAUUACUGUAUACGUGUUUUCAGAGACCUCCCCCAUGAUCCUUUAUUUCUAGCCAUUUGUAAUGAGAUUUAUUGCAUACAGCGCAGCUCAUCUCGGAAGCAAAGCAGGGCUGCCCCUCCCGUCACCUCCAAGGCGGCAAUUUUUUUUCCUGGUUACAUAUGCGCUGAUUGUGAGUCGGACGGAUCUCCGUGCAUGGACGCAAAUGGGGAGUUUUUGCACGAGCAGAUGCAAGUUUCCGCAUUUUUGCAUAUUCGGAAUUGUACGGAACUUGUCCGGUUCUGUCUUUCUGUGAAGCUUGGCGACAAUACAAGUGCACAGAACCGCCCUGGGAGCCUUGUUGGCACAUAUCAAAAACACUGUAUGCACUAGGAAGGGAAGUCUGCUUUUGGCGGGUCUCCGGCACCUAGAACAUGGCUGGUGUAAAAUCUAGGCGGCACAGACGCACGGACCCCCGCAUUAGCCCUACAGAUUAUUGCGUUAGCAUAGUGAGGGGUGCACACGUAGAGAUUUCUCCCAGAGAUGUGUACUGAGCGAUCCAGCACUGACCGCUCAACACACAUCUCUUCCCUACUCAGCGCGAUGUGUGCUAAGCGAGAGGGGGGGGGGGGGGGACGCUCACUUCACCCAACGGUGAAGUGAGUGAUCUGACUAGAUCUGGCGUGCAUGCUGCCGAAUCUAGAGCCGGCGAUAACGAUGCUGUCGCCAGCACCCCUACACACGGAGCGACGUGUGCUUAAUUUCUAAGCAAUCUAGUCAGAUUAAGCACACGUCGUGUGUAUCCACCUUUAGGCAGUAAAUCGGCUUCCGCAGCAGCCCCCAAAUAAUGCCCCUUUGUGCCUCAGCAUCGCUCCCAUAGUGUGCUGCAUGGUAAUAAUCUAGCUCCUGUCCAUGUGUGUGCGCACCCUCGCAUCAUCUCACCCCGAUGACCAUGGAAAUAGUUGUGCAAAGCGCUCUCAGGUGACUGAUGUGGAGAAAAUUGUGGGGAAGUGCUGAUGUUUCCUCUGUAUUUUCAUCGAUCGGGAGACCGCACAGUUCAGAUCUCUCAUUGUAAGGAAUACCGCGUGCUUUGUCUAUUCAAAGACCCCAUAUAAAAAUCCUGCAUCAGUGGCAAUUCUGUGAGCCAGAUAGUCACAAAGGGGGUCAUUCAGACCCGAUUGCUGCUGUGCUUCUUCGCACAGCAACGAUCGGGUCUGAACUGCGCAUGCGCCGCAGUGCACCUGCGCAUGCCAGACAACCGACGGCUGUCUUUAGCUAGCGAUCGCAUCUGCCUGAUAGGCAGAGGCGGUCGCUGGGCUGGAGGCACGGUUUAGGGGGCGCAGUCCGGCCAACGCAGUCGUGGCCAAACCGUGCGGGGGGGGGGGGGGCAGCUGCGGCGGCUGCGUGACGUCGCAUGCAGCCGCUGUGACCCGGCAGCAACGAGUAGCUCCCGGACAGCCCGAUCAACUCUGAAUCACCCCCAAUGUUGGAUCCUAUUUGGGGGACUUAAUAGAUCUCAAAAUACCAGCUGGCUCCAAGGUUUGCUUCAUUUUUGUCUAUCACCUAAAUCCAUUCUAAAAAGAGGCAGAUGUCCAAUGUUAGGAAUUGCUUAUCGCUGUUAUACCACUGUAUGACGUGUGACCAAGGGACUUGUCCGGGUCUAGCAAUCCGGCAUAUUCCCGGGUCUCGGCUCUAACUCUGGUUGGGAGCAGGGUUGUGGCUCAGUCCCGGGUCGUUUGCAUUCACAUAUACAGAAAUCUCGGGUUGAUGUGCGUUCACAUGCAAAACCCCGGGAUUUCCAUGUACUGUAUGUGUGCAAGGGGUAUAAUGCACGUAGGUUUCCACUUAUCUCCUAUUUACAUAAAGAUGAUGCUCUAGUUUAUUUACACUAGCAAAUAUAGAUUUAAAAAAAUAUAGGACAAUUUGUGCAGAUUUGGUCUUCAGAAUUGUAUACAGCACGAACCUAAUAGUGACUCUGUUAUUGGCCAAUUUACAUUGUACACAGGUACUUAAUGUUGCAUGUAACUUUGGACCUGAUUCUGAGUUGGAAAUAAAGUGAGAAAGAGCAAUUAACUGCGCACCUCCAUGCAGGGGGUGCAGAUACAUACGUGUGUUUGCAUGCAGGUUAAAUACUGGCUGCCUUUGUGUGUAGCCCACACAUGCCGGACAACUUUGUACACUGCAGUUUAGAUCUGCGUUUGGACGCGCCCUCUCAAUGCUAGAUCUCUCUGCACAUGUUACAUCUGACCUCCCCGGCAGUGCUGCAUGGCUCUACCAAGGUGAAUAGUUACUGGCCCUUUCUUGCUUUAUUUCCAACUCAGAUCAGUCCCCUCGUUAGAGCAAAUCCUGAAUUAUUACAGGGGAUUCCACUGAAUAAAUCCUGAUCCUUGUAACUGUUAUUUAUCCUAACAAAUACUAAAUCUUGUGACGCUACAUAGUACAUAUCUAAGCUAUUUUUAAUCGCCGUUUUUGUGUGUUGUUCAAUAAAUAAUUGUGUCUUUUGAUAAUCAAAUGUACAUUGUGAGGCAAAGCAAUGCUGUGUCAUUUUAUUACUCUGUGAGGACAAUGAGUCUCAGUAUUGUUACCUGAUAAUGCCAAAUUUGCAGUCGUCUUUUUACUCUACUUUUGGAUGCACAAAUCAAAGCAAUAAAGAUUGUAUCCAAGCAUCA